rnacentral:lncRNA from 1 species
GCCACAUAGAUGUGGGGGGCAUUGCGCUAAUAGUGAUAGUUACCACUGCAUUUAGAAAUUGAAAGCAUUCACGCAGACAAGGAUGAUUCUUUAUAUUUUUGGCUACCACUUCAGAUGCCUCCACCAAGUGUUGCAAUGCUGCACGCAGCCAUACUAAGAAUCUCGCAGCAAUACCUGCAGGUAAAAAGCAGAAGCAGUCAAAGUGCUGGUGUGUACUAGGCACUAUGUUUGAAAACUUUUAGGCAAGAAGAGUGCAAGAAGCAGACAUAACAACUGCAUUUAUUUCCACAAUUCCUUAUUUGAAUGGCCUUUUCUUUUUGCUUAGACAAUGCCUACGCCUAGCCACAGCAGCUCCCUCAUACAGACUCCGCAAGCCAAGAGGCCGUGGAGGCAAAUGCAGGCAGCCAGCACACCGCGAACAGCCACUUUGACUGCAGGUGUGUCACCCUAGUCGCCAAGGAAACAUUUGAGGGAAAGCGACAGGCAAUGUGAACAGCCACUUCUCCAUGUAAACGAUACUCUUUCUCUCGGAUGACUCCUACGCCUCGCCACGCCAGCACACUUGUGCACGAAGAUGCCACGGAAGCACGUGCAGGUCAGAGGCAAGAAGCAGUGGCACUGGUGUCGACAUUCACCCAAUUUCUUUUUCUUACGCUGAGGCAGCCAGCACACCUCGAACAGCCACCUUGACUGCGGGUGUGUCGGUAGUUGCUGUUGUACAUAUGCUCAUAAUAAACUUCAGUAAACUUGAACUUGACAAUAAACUUGAAGGCAAAUGGGA